rnacentral:lncRNA from 1 species
CCUCAAGAUAAGAAAACCCUGAAGAACUGAACUACGUCCACCAAGCUGCAAAGGAUCCUGGGAAGGCGACCUUCUUUAUCUGGGUGGUUUCAUCUCUGAAUGAAAUGAAAGUCCUGUAGGUAAAGAAGAACAAUAACUAGAAGAGGACCUAAGUCUCCUUUUGCAUCCUGGACAAACUGGGCUAUCAUUUGUUGAUCUAGUACUCGGCAAUCAGUAUAAGCUCAUUUGGCUAGUCAUUCACUUUAAUUCCUGCACAAACACAAAGCAGGUGUGUGGAUUCUUAUUUGUAGAGAAACUGAGGCACAGAGAAAAUCAGGCAGGUUCACAUAGGCAAAGUGCGAUAAAUUAUCCCUAGUACUUCUAUCUGCUGGGUUCCAAAACUGUGAAGGAGGACUCAAGUCAGUCUAUUUUUUGUUAAUAGCCUCCAAGAAAGUAGUUGAAGGCAUUCUCUACCCUCUCACUCUACAGACCUGAGAAAGGAAGUAUGAACUCCCAUGGAGAUGUUUAGGGUCUCUAGAACUCUUGUUGAGAUCUCUGUCCCCCAGCAAAGUUCUCAAUGUUUCCUGAUUUCUGAGAGCUGAGCUUUGAGGUCUGCCCUUCCUGGAAGGCUCCACGCAUCCCUGCAAUUAGACUCCUUCCUCACUAUUAGCCUGUUGGUAACUUUGUGUGUGCCAGAUACACCCAUCUGAGGGAAAUAGAGCUGGGCUCAACUGCCUCUUAUUCUCAGGAGCAGAAAUGAUCCAAUACUUGGCCUUUGAGCAAGGGGUGAUGUCAACAGUCAAGAAACGCAGCAUUGGGAGGCUGGUGGCUGUGCUGAAUCCUACCUUGACACUUACUGGCUAUGUGACUGGUUUGUUUCUUCAUUAGCCCUUAGCUACUUAGGUGCAACAGGAAAGAAAACAAUCAAAUUCAUGUCACUGAGUUGUGAGGAGUAAGAUACAGGGGCACUUAGAAAAAGGAAUGCCACAUGGCUGACGUCACGGGGACCUUGGUCAGCGUGGUAGUUUGAAUGAAAGUGGCCACCACAGACUCAUAGGAAGUGGUACUAUUAGGGUUUGUAACUUUGUUAAGUAGGUAGGGCUUCAUUGGAUGAAGUGUUGGUCACUUGGGGGCGG